GGAAGGUGCAAGCGUUAAUCGGAAUUACUGGGCGUAAAGCGCGCGUAGGCGGUUAGAUAAGUCGGGUGUGAAAGCCCCGGGCUCAACCUGGGAACUGCAUUCGAUACUGUUUGACUAGAGUGUGAUAGAGGGAGGCGGAAUUCCGCAUGUAGCGGUGAAAUGCGUAGAGAUGCGGAGGAACACCAAUGGCGAAGGCAGCCUCCUGGAUUAACACUGACGCUGAGGUGCGAAAGCGUGGGGGAGCAAACAGGAUUAGAUACCCUGGUAGUCCACGCUGUAAACGAUGUCAACUAGCCGUUGGGAGCAAUUUGGCUCUUGGUGGCGCAGCUAACGCGAUAAGUUGACCGCCUGGGGAGUACGGUCGCAAGAUUA
rnacentral:rRNA from 1 species